rnacentral:rRNA from 1 species
AACGAACGCUGGCGGCAUGCCUAACACAUGCAAGUCGAACGAGACCUUCGGGUCUAGUGGCGCACGGGUGCGUAACGCGUGGGAACCUGCCCUUAGGUUCGGAAUAACUCCCCGAAAGGGGUGCUAAUACCGGAUAAUGUCUUCGGACCAAAGAUUUAUCGCCUUUGGAUGGGCCCGCGUUGGAUUAGCUAGUUGGUAGGGUAAAAGCCUACCAAGGCGACGAUCCAUAGCUGGUCUGAGAGGAUGAUCAGCCACACUGGGACUGAGACACGGCCCAGACCCCUAGGGGAGGAAGAAGGGGGGAAUAUUGGAAAAUGGGCGAAAGCCUGACCCAAAAAUGCCGGGUGGGGGAUGAAGGCCUUAGGGUUGUAAAGCUUUUUUACCCGGGAUGAAAAGGACAGUACGGGGAAAAAAAGCCCCGGCUAACCCCGU